GACGAACGCUGGCGGCGUGCCUAAUACAUGCAAGUAGAACGCUGAAGGAGGAGCUUGCUUCUCUGGAUGAGUUGCGAACGGGUGAGUAACGCGUAGGUAACCUGCCUGGUAGCGGGGGAUAACUAUUGGAAACGAUAGCUAAUACCGCAUAAGAGUAGAUGUUGCAUGACAUUUGCUUAAAAGGUGCAAUUGCAUCACUACCAGAUGGACCUGCGUUGUAUUAGCUAGUUGGUGGGGUAACGGCUCACCAAGGCGACGAUACAUAGCCGACCUGAGAGGGUGAUCGGCCACACUGGGACUGGGACACGGCCCAGACUCCUACGGGAAGCAGCAGUAGGGAAUCUUCGGCAAUUGACGGAAGUCUGACCGAGCAACGCCGCGUGAGUGAAGAAGGUUUUCGGAUCGUAAAGCUCGGUUGUAAGAGAAGAACGAGUGUGAGAGUGGAAAGUUCACACUGUGACGGUAACUUACCAGAAAGGGACGGCUAACUACGUG
rnacentral:rRNA from 1 species